rnacentral:rRNA from 1 species
GACGAACGCUGGCGGCGUGCUUAACACAUGCCAGUCGAACGGAAAGGCCCUGCUUUUGUGGGGUGCUCGAGUGGCGAACGGGUGAGUAACACGUGAGUAACCUGCCCUUGACUUUGGGAUAACUUCAGGAAACUGGGGCUAAUACCGGAUAGGAGCUCCUGCUGCAUGGUGGGGGUUGGAAAGUUUCGGCGGUUGGGGAUGGACUCGCGGCUUAUCAGCUUGUUGGUGGGGUAGUGGCUUACCAAGGCUUUGACGGGUAGCCGGCCUGAGAGGGUGACCGGCCACAUUGGGACUGAGAUACGGCCCAGACUCCUACGGGAGGCAGCAGUGGGGAAUAUUGCACAAUGGGCGGAAGCCUGAUGCAGCGACGCCGCGUGCGGGAUGACGGCCUUCGGGUUGUAAACCGCUUUCGCCUGUGACGAAGCGUGAGUGACGGUAAUGGGUAAAGAAGCACCGGCUAACUACGUG